GGGUCGGUAGCCCGAUUUGGCAAGGGGGCGGGCUGUAACCCCGCUUAACCACCAAGUGAGUUCGAAUCUCACCCGACCCA
rnacentral:tRNA from 1 species